rnacentral:rRNA from 1 species
AAUAGAUACCCAGGUAGUCCAUGCCGUAAACGUUGGGCACUAGGUGUGGGGGACAUUCCACGUUCUCCGCGCCGUAGCUAACGCAUUAAGUGCCCCGCCUGGGGAGUACGGUCGCAAGGCUAAAACUCAAAGGAAUUGACGGGGGCCCGCACAAGCGGCGGAGCAUGCGGAUUAAUUCGAUGCAACGCGAAGAACCUUACCAAGGCUUGACAUACACUGGACCGUUCUGGAAACAGUUCUUCUCUUUGGAGCUGGUGUACAGGUGGUGCAUGGUUGUCGUCAGCUCGUGUCGUGAGAUGUUGGGUUAAGUCCCGCAACGAGCGCAACCCUCGUUCUAUGUUGCCAGCACGUGAUGGUGGGAACUCAUAGGAGACUGGCCGGGGUCAACUCGGAGGAAGGUGGGGAUGACGUCAAAUCAUCAUGCCCUUUAUGUCUUGGGCUUCACGCAUGCUACAAUGGCUGGUACAGAGAGAGGCGAACCCGUGAGGUAAGCGAAUCCCUUAAAGCCAGUCUCAGUUCGGAUCGUAGU